rnacentral:rRNA from 1 species
CAGUCGCCGCGGUAAUACAGAGGGUGCGAGCGUUAAUCGGAUUUACUGGGCGUAAAGCGUGCGUAGGCGGCUUUUUAAGUCCGUUGUGAAAGCCCUGGGCUCAACCUGGGAAUUGCAGUGGAUACUGGGUCACUAGAGUGUGGUAGAGGAUAGUGGAAUUUCCGGUGUAGCAGUGAAAUGCGUAGAGAUCGGAAGGAACAUCUGUGGCGAAGGCGACUAUCUGGGCCAACACUGACACUGAGGCACGAAAGCGUGGGGAGCAAACAGGAUUAGAUACCCGCGUAGUCCCUGUCUCUUAUAU